GACCUCUGAUCAGUUAGGAUACCAG
rnacentral:rRNA from 1 species